GUGGUGUUGCUAAGGUAGAGGACAUUAAAAGUUCAGGUUGCUCUGACUUCUUUUAAUAUUGUGAUAUUUGUGAUAUAUCACUAAAGCCUUGUGUUUGGAAUACGUGGUAUAAAUCUUAAAAUAAGGCAUCAUCCUUACUAAUAAGGUACUCUGUUAUCCAGAAAGGGGUGGUGUGAGCCAUGGCAUUCAGUGAUUUAGCUCCACACGACCACAUCAAGCACCAUGUAAUAUCAAGUGGCCUGAAUUGUUGUCCAACAGGGGGCGACACAUGGGACAGCCGUUAUUUCCCGUUUGGAAAUUCAAAACAAAACCAGCCAAGGCCAGUUUCCCGACCUGCACCGCGGCGAAAAUAAGCGCUGACCGUUAAAAAAAUGAACUAAAAAAAUUAUUUAAAAAUUCAUAACGCGAUUAUUUGCGCCCGAGACUCCCGGUGUUGCAAUGGAUAUAAAAAAUGCAAACCGGCGAGGCGUCGAAAGAAAAAAAAAUUGUAGGGGAAAAUUUUUUAUUUAUUUUUUUUUCCUCGGUGCCUCGUGUCAUCACAGAGUAGAGGCGCUGCAGUGGAGCAUUGGCGCCAUUUUCAAACUUCAGAGCCCGAGUGAAUGCGACUCUUGUUAUACACAAAAUUGUCAUUUUUUUGUACUUUGACUUUUUCUUGUUUCUUUUUAAUUCAUCGUUUUACAUUUAAUGGUGAUUAUCCUGACUCUGAGGACAAGAUUUCUUUUAAACAAAAAAAGGUGCAGAAUUGACUUUAGAGGACGAUUGGUGUUCAGUGAGUGCCUUUUGGGAUUAUCAGCCACCUUCACCUCUCCUCUGUUGCUCAAGAGGGUGAAGGAAAAAAGGCAGAGGCUGAGCCUGUAGAAGGACCUUGUAAGCCUGUUGUCACCACAACCUGAGAUGUUGGCACAGCCAUGACUGUUGGUGGUGGAGGGGGAGCCAUAACAACCGGGACCUUCUUGGUACUUUUCUUUGAAACGGGGACAAGGUUCUUGUGACUCAACAGCACUUCACAACAACAACAAACGUGUGGUGGAGCAGCAGUUCCUCCCCGCCUUCAACACUACUCACCCUGCUGGACUCGAGUCUGCCACCGGGUGCAACUGCAUGAACACAAUUCAAGUUGUCAUUGGAUUAAGACCACACCCUUCAAUUCCAGUGAUCUGUCAAGCCUGCUAAUGUAAAAAAAAUUCUAGAAUAUAAUUGAGUAUAUGAACUCCUAAAGCUAGGUAAUAUGAUUAACUAUUUUAACAAAAUGUGUGAAGUUUGGAAUUAUUCCAGAAUAAGAUUGGAAUAAUAUAGUAAGCUAUAUUAUAUAUCAAGUUAAUGGCAGUGACACAUGUAUUUAGGCAUUUUAGAUGCCCUUUAUUGUAGUCAGUUUGUAUGUUUGCUGUUGCGUCUGCAUUUUCUUCUAAUGUAUUUGUUGUAGACUCAAAGCCGUCUAGAUUUUACUGCAUUUUUUCUUGCUUGCAUGUGAUGCAUAUAAACAGUCCCUUUCUUCCUACUUCCAGUGAAAUGAAUUAUUAAAUGAUUAUUAUAGUAAGACAGAGAAAUUUACACUACCUUGGAAAAACACCAGCUUGUCAGUGAUCAUGUAUGAUACUGACAGAUAACUGGCCAACAGCACUUAAUAUUACUUAUAUUGGCCGUGUGUUAAUCCAAGCAUUCAUUUUAAACCACCAGGACACACUUUACAUUACUCCAAUUCCAAAAUAAUAGUUGGAACACUGUGUAAAAUGCUAAUCAAAACAGAUUGCAAUUAUUUAAAAUGAUUUAUUAAAUGUUUAA